rnacentral:rRNA from 1 species
AUACGGAGGGUGCAAGCGUUGUUCGGAAUCACUGGGCGUAAAGGGCGCGCAGGCGGUUUGGUAAGUCAGAUGUGAAAGCCCACGGCUCAACCGUGGAAGUGUAUCUGAAACUGUCUGGCUUGAGUACUGGAGAGGAAAGUGGAAUUCCUGGUGUAGAGGUGAAAUUCGUAGAUAUCAGGAGGAACACCGGUGGCGAAGGCGACUUUCUGGACAGAUACUGACGCUGAGGCGCGAAAGCGUGGGGAGCAAACAGGAUUAGAAACCCGAGUAGUCC